rnacentral:sRNA from 1 species
UCACACCGCGAGUCACUUGUCAGCCCUUGUCUGAGGCGGAGGCAGCGCCGCGCCGCGCCGGACCCGAGCAUAUUUCAUUUUCUGUCAUUGGACUUUGAGCCAUUAGAACCAUGAGCAACUACAGUGUGUCACUGGUUGGCCCAGCUCCUUGGGGUUUCCGGCUGCAAGGCGGCAAGGAUUUCAACAUGCCUCUGACAAUCUCUAGUCUAAAAGAUGGCGGCAAGGCAGCCCAGGCAAAUGUAAGAAUAGGCGAUGUGGUUCUCAGCAUUGAUGGAAUAAGUGCACAAGGAAUGACUCAUCUUGAAGCCCAGAAUAAGAUUAAGGGUUGUACAGGCUCUUUGAAUAUGACUCUGCAAAGAGCAUCUGCUACACCCAAGCCUGAGCCGGUUCCUGUUCAAAAGGUGUGUUUUUAAGCUAGCACCCAGAGUAUCAUUUGAUUGUCCUUGCUGAGCUACUGUAAUUCUCAUUUCUGUCUCAGACCAUACUGACAUUCAUUUAAUUUAUAGUCUUAGUACAAUUUUCCUUGUAGUUCUUUCCCUUCAGAGAUGAGUAGGAAAAUGGAGAUCAGCACAUACCGUUUGUAAUUAUACAUGUUAUAAAACAUUAUUUCCAAAGCCAUAUGCUACAAUAACUUAUGUCAGAUUUCUUACAUUUCUAUUCACUUUUGAUGUGCCCAUCUUUAUCCAAAUUGUUAUAUUUUCUAAAGAGAAUAAAUAAGUGGUUACUGAAAAUUAAUAUCACAA